AUAGGUGUAGCUUAAUUGUAAAAGCGAUGGAUCGUUAUUCCAGAUGUUGUAGGUUCAGGUCCUACCGCCAAGU